AUUGAACGCUGGCGGCAGGCCUAACACAUGCAAGUCGAGCGGAUGACGGGAGCUUGCUCCUCGAUUCAGCGGCGGACGGGUGAGUAAUACCUAGGAAUCUGCCUGAUAGUGGGGGACCACGUUUCGAAAGGAACGCUAAUACCGCAUACGUCCUACGGGAGAAAGCAGGGGACCUUCGGGCCUUGCGCUAUCAGAUGAGCCUAGGUCGGAUUAGCUAGUUGGUGAGGUAAUGGCUCACCAAGGCGACGAUCCGUAACUGGUCUGAGAGGAUGAUCAGUCACACUGGAACUGAGACACGGUCCAGACUCCUACGGGAGGCAGCAGUGGGGAAUAUUGGACAAUGGGCGAAAGCCUGAUCCAGCCAUGCCGCGUGUGUGAAGAAGGUCUUCGGAUUGUAAAGCACUUUAAGUUGGGAGGAAGGGCAGUAAGCUAAUACCUUGCUGUUUUGACGUUACCGACAGAAUAAGCACCGGCUAACUCUGUGCCAGCCGCCGCCGUAAUAC
rnacentral:rRNA from 1 species